rnacentral:rRNA from 1 species
GACGAGCGCUGGCGGCGUGCUUAACACAUGCGAGUCGAACGAUGAGGCCGAGCUUGCUAGGUGGAUUAGUGGCGAACGGGGGAGUAAUACGUGAGUAACCUAGCUUGAACUCUGGGAUAAGCCUGGGAAACUGGGGCUAAUACCGGAUACGACCAAUCUCCGCAUGGGGUGUUGGUGGAAAGCGUUAUGUAGUGGUUAUAGAUGGGCUCACGGCCUAUCAGCUUGUUGGUGAGGUAACGGCUCACCAAGGCGACGACGGGUAGCCGGCCUGAGAGGGUGACCGAUCACACUGGGACUGAGACACGGCCCAGACUCCUACGGGAGGCAGCAGUGGGGAAUAUUGCACAAUGGGCGCAAGCCUGAUGCAGCGACGCCGCGUGAGGGAUGACGGCCUUCGGGUUGUAAACCUCUGUUAGCAGGGAAGAAGAGAGAUUGACGGUACCUGCAGAGAAAGCGCCGGCUAACUACGUGCCAGCAGCCGCGGUAAUACGUAGGGCGCGAGCGUUGUCCGGAAUUAUUGGGCGUAAAGAGCUUGUAGGCGGUUUGUCGCGUCUGCUGUGAAGGCCGGGGCUUAACUCCGUGUAUUGCAGUGGGUACGGGCAGACUAGAGUGCAGUAGGGGAGACUGGAAUUCCUGGUGUAGCGGUGGAAUGCGCAGAUAUCAGGAGGAACACCGAUGGCGAAGGCAGGUCUCUGGGCUGUAACUGACGCUGAGAAGCGAAAGCAUGGGGAGCGAACAGGAUUAGAUACCCUGGUAGUCCAUGCCGUAAACGUUGGGCACUAGGUGUGGGGAACAUUCCACGUUUUCCGCGCCGUAGCUAACGCAUUAAGUGCCCCGCCUGGGGAGUACGGCCGCAAGGCUAAAACUCAAAGAAAUUGACGGGGGCCCGCACAAGCGGCGGAGCAUGCGGAUUAAUUCGAUGCAACGCGAAGAACCUUACCAAGGCUUGACAUAUACUGGACCGCAUCAGAGAUGGUGUUUCCCUUCGGGGCUGGUAUACAGGUGGUGCAUGGUUGUCGUCAGCUCGUGUCGUGAGAUGUUGGGUUAAGUCCCGCAACGAGCGCAACCCUCGUUCUAUGUUGCCAGCACGUAAUGGUGGGGACUCAUAGGAGACUGCCGGGGUCAACUCGGAGGAAGGUGGGGAUGACGUCAAAUCAUCAUGCCCCUUAUGUCUUGGGCUUCACGCAUGCUACAAUGGCCGGUACAGAGGGUUGCGAUACUGUGAGGUGGAGCUAAUCCCUAAAAGCCGGUCUCAGUUCGGAUUGGGGUCUGCAACUCGACCCCAUGAAGUCGGAGUCGCUAGUAAUCGCAGAUCAGCAACGCUGCGGUGAAUACGUUCCCGGGCCU